rnacentral:tRNA from 1 species
GGCGCGGUAGCCAAGUGGUAAGGCAGGAGUCUGCAAAACUUCUAUUCGGCGGUCCGAUUCCGCCCCGCGCCUCCA